rnacentral:rRNA from 1 species
GAUGAACGCUGGCGGCGUGCCUAAUACAUGCAAGUCGAGCGAACAGAUGAGGAGCUUGCUCCUCUGACGUUAGCGGCGGACGGGUGAGUAACACGUGGAUAACCUACCUAUAAGACUGGGAUAACUUCGGGAAACCGGAGCUAAUACCGGAUAAUAUAUUGAACCGCAUGGUUCAAUAGUGAAAGACGGUUUUGCUGUCACUUAUAGAUGGAUCCGCGCCGCAUUAGCUAGUUGGUAAGGUAACGGCUUACCAAGGCAACGAUGCGUAGCCGACCUGAGAGGGUGAUCGGCCACACUGGAACUGAGACACGGUCCAGACUCCUACGGGAGGCAGCAGUAGGGAAUCUUCCGCAAUGGACGAAAGCCUGACGGAGCAACGCCGCGUGAGUGAUGAAGGUCUUCGGAUCGUAAAACUCUGUUAUUAGGGAAGAACAAAUGUGUAAGUAACUAUGCACGUCUUGACGGUACCUAGUCAGAAAGCCACGGCUAACUACGUG